CUUGUUGCUGCUGUCUUGACCUGCCAAGAUACCUUUUUUUUAAUUUAAAGUGUCUGCUUAAAUAUCUAUUGUAUCAAAUAACUAGGUAUCCCUCCAUGGAAAUGCUCACAAUCCAGCAGAGCUAGUGAUAUAAAUCACAGGGCAUCAUGUAACGGAAAGGUUUUAGUCUGGGAAAGGAGGCUUUGGCUCUGUUCCACUUUGCCCUCUUUGAUGACAAUUCUGCAGAGAAAAGGCAGAAGAAGAGAUUCUUAGGAUAUGGAGCUUGCCCUGUAGAGUCUGCUAAAGAAUAGUAACUGUGAAGCAAGUUCUCUUCACUGUGGACAGAAAGGGAAGCGGAUAAGAUAAACAGAGUAGAAAGCUGUCAAGACAAGCCUGGACAUACAACCAUGCAUAGUUUUCUGCUACAAGAGGAUCCACAGGAGGGUGU
rnacentral:lncRNA from 1 species